AAUUUGACCAAGUAAACGAGCAUGAAAAGAAUUGAAAUUUCGAUUUUACUCGUCCCAUGUGUAUUUGAUGUGUAUUACACCCGUCUCAUAGUUUAAUUUCUUUCCUCGAAACCAUCACGAUCCCACCUUACUAGAUAUAUCAUAAAAAGGCUCAAUCAACUUAUAAUAAAUAAUUUUAGUAUUUUUCGUAACAUAAAAGGCAGGGCCACCUUAUGUUUAGUAGUACAAUAAUUACAAAUCAAGCAGUCAAAUUAAAAUAUGAAGAGCAGCAACCCAGAAAAUUGGCUUCACAAUCACCCGUCUGCUGCACAAAAUUCUCAACCACACCCCUCCU
rnacentral:lncRNA from 1 species